rnacentral:lncRNA from 1 species
UAAGGUUUACCAACUUAGUUCAACAUGAACUAGAUUACAAAAUAAUAAUUAAAAAUACAAUCAAAACAUAACAAGUAGUUAGGCAACUUCAAGCUCCAGUUUUUGCACUUCAUAGCUCGACUGCUUGCUGCCACUUCUCCUUGCAUGGCCACCUUUGCAUGUCUUGCAUGGGAACUAAAUUCAACACUCUUCCUUAGUUUCCAUGCUAGUGACACCUAAUUGCCUUCUUAAUUUAACAAAUUUAGACACAUUGAGUGCCUUUGUAAAGAUAUCAGCAAUUUGCUCUUCUGAAUUACAAUGAACCAGCUCGAUUUCAUGAGCUUGCUCCAUCUCCCUUAUGACAUGUAGCUUGAUGUUGAAGUGCUUUGUUCUACCAUGAAAGAUAGGAUUCUUUGCAAUUGCAACAGCAGAUUUGUUGUCACAGUAAAUCUCUGUUGCCUUUCCUUGAUUUUGAUUUAAAUCAGCUAGGAUUUUUCUAAGCCAUAUGGCUUGAUUUACAGCAGAUGCAGCAGCAACAUAUUCAGCUUCUGCUGUUGACUGCGCUACCAGACUUUACUUUUUAGAACUCCAGCAAAACAUGCCUGAGCCAAGACUAAAGGCAUAUCCAGAUGUGCUUCUCAUGUCAUCACAAGAUCCAGCCCAGUCACUAUCAACAUAGCCUAUCAGCUUCAUGUUUUCAGCCCUUUUGAACAAUACACCAUGAUCAAUGGUGCCUUUGAUGUAUCUAAGCACUCUUUUAGCUGCUUGAAAGUGCUGAUCAUUACAGCAAUUCAUGUAUCUGGAUAGCACACUAACAGCAAACAUGAUAUCGGGUCUUGUUAUAGUCAAAUACAACAGACUACCAAUGAGACUUUUGUACAUAGUCUCGCAAAUUGGUUCACCACUCCCUUGCCUCGAAAGCUUCACUCCAACAGCCAUUGGUGUGCUUGUUGGCUUGCAGUUCUUCAUAGAGAACUUAUCCAGGAUCUUCAUAGUAAAAGAACUCUGACUAAGAAAGAUUCCCUUUGCUGUUUGCUUCACUUCCAUUCUAAGGAAGUAGUUCAUUCUGCCUAAAUCAGACAUUUCAAACAUUUCCAUCAUUUUUCUUUUGAAAUCUUCCAGCACUCUUCUAUCUCCUCCAGUCACCAAUAAAUCAUCAACAUAGAGUGACAGGAUAAGCUGAGUUUCAGCUUGGUUCUUCUUCACAUACAAUGUUGGUUCACUGAGACUUCUCUUGAAUUCCAAACUGAGCAAGUAAGAAUCAAUUCGAGCAUACCAGGCUCAAGGAGCCUGUUUCAGGCCAUACAAAGCCUUUUUCAGUCUGCACACCUUGUGUUCUUUGCCAGUGACCACAAAUCCUUGAGGCUGUUCGAUGUAGAUCUCUUCUUCCAGGAAACCAUUGAGAAAUGCAGACUUAACAUCAAGCUGAUGAAUGGUCCACUGAUGUUGAGCAGCCAAGGCAACUAUCAUUCUAACUGUGUCAAGCCUGGCUACUGGUGCAAAUGUCUCCAGAUAGUCCAGACCAUACCUUUGGCUAAAACUUUUGACAACAAGCCUGGCUUUUAGCUUGUUCAGACUGCCAUCUGCAUUUUGUUUUGCCCGAUAGACCCAUUUUACUCCAAUGGUCUUCUUUCCAGUAGGUUUAUCAACUAGCUCUCAUGUCUGGUUCUUCUCAAUCAUGUUGAUUUCAUCGACCAUAGCUAGUUUCCAGCCUUCAUAUGCCUCAGCCUCUUCAAAACUGCUAGGUUCUGCUAUUGCAACCUGUGCCCUUUCAUAAAUAUCAUCUAGGGGCCUUGUGCCUCUCACAGGCACAUCAUCAAUAUCCAUUUCAGGUCCUAGCUGCUCAAGUUCAGCUUGAUUAGGCACCAGGUCUUCUGAAGCAGCUUCUGGUUCAUUCUUUUCCUAAUUCCAGCAAGCCUUCUCAUCGAAGAUGACAUCUCUGCUCACUUGAACUAUGUUUGUCAAAUGAUCCAGCACCCUGUAGCCCUUCUUAACUGAGCUAUAGCCUACUAGAACACCUGGUUGAGCCCUUUCAGAGAGCUUGUCUCUCUUUGCUGCUGGUAUUUGUGCAUAACACAGGCAACCAAACACCUUCAGAUGUGCCAAGGAAGGCUUGAAACCGGACCAAGCCUCGAAAGGUGUUUUGGAUGCAAGAGCUUUGGUAGGAAGCCUAUUUUGAAGGUAGACAGUAGUGUUUACUGCCUCAGCCCACAUGGUCUUGGGCAGUUUCUUCUCUAACAGCAGGCACCUGGCCAUAUCCAUCAAGCUUUUGUUCUUUCUUUCUGAUACCCCAUUCUGCUGAGGUGUGUAGACAUUUGUAAGCUGGUGUUUGAUACCAGCAUCAUUGCAAAUGGCUUAAAACUGAGCUGAAGUGUACUCAGUGCCAUUGUCUGACCUUAUCGAUUUCAGCUUGCAACCUGUUUCUGUCUCUACAGCAGUUUUAAACUUCACAAACACUUGAGCUACCUCAGACUUGUGUUUUAAGAAGAAAAUCCAGCAAAACCUUGUAAAAUCAUCAAUGAAGAGGAUGAAAUACCUAUUUUUGCUGAGUGAUUCAGUCCUCAUCGGGCCACAUACAUCAGAGUGACCAGCUGCAGUUUUUCAAUAGCUCUCCAAGCUGAAUUUGUAGGAAAUGGCAGUCUUGCCUGUUUCCCCAUCUGGCAAACUUCACACACAUCAUCAUGCUCCACUGAGCUAGUAAAGUUCUCUGCCAAGCCUUCUUUGGCCAUUUGAGCCAAUGAUCUGAAGUUGGCAUGCCCAAGCCUUUGAUGCCAAAGCUUGGAAUCAUCAACAGAGGCUGUAUAUGCAGACUUUGAGUCAUUUGGCCAGUGUACCUCAAAGCAUUUGUCAGUCAUUGUGACUGUCAUAAGGCUUGAUCCACUUGGAUCAGCAAUGUGGCACUGUUUGUUCUUGAACACAACAGAAUAGCCUUUCUCGAGCAAUUGAGCUAUGCUGAGAAGGUUUCUGUCGAUUUCUGGCACUAACAGCACAUUUGGAAUGAUCUUGUUGCCUGUGGGGGUACAUAUCAGCACCUCUCCUCUUCCUUCAGCCCUUAUGAACUGACCAUUUCCAACCUUGACCUUGGUUUUGCAACUUCUAUCCAAGGUUUUAAAUAAGGAGGCAUCUGGUGACAUGUGGUUAGUGCAACCACUGUCCAAUAACCAGCCUUUUGAGCAUUUCUUCUCAACAGCUAAGCAAGAAACAGCAAAGACAUGCUCUUCUUGAUCACUACUGUCCUCAGCUACUCGAGCUUCAACCUUUGGUUGUUGAAAUUGACUCUGCCUUGACUUGGUUCUAUUUUUGCAAACCCUUUCAACAUGGCCUUUCUUCUUGCAGUGUUGGCAUACUGCAUCUGGCCUGAACCAGCAUCUGUCUUCUGGAUGGCCUGGCCUCUUGCAAUGUCUGCAGGGCUGGUCAUUGCUCCUUGCAGUAUCAGGCUUAGGCCUGCUUUUCCAAGGCUUUUUACCUCUUGGAGCAUUGAUGCUCGAGGCUUCUCUGGCCUUGGCAUUGAAUGCACCUUCCUGGUGGUCUUCAGCUCUGCUAGCUCUCCUUUGUUCCUGAGCAUAGAAAGUGUUGAUUAGCUCAGUCAAAGAGAUGGUAGCAAGGUCUCUUGAGUCUUCAAGAGAGGAUAUCUUGGCCUCAUAUCUCUCCGGCAAAGUGGAGAGAACUUUCUCUACUAUCCUUGCCUCAUCAAAGUGCUCACCAAGGAGCCUUAUACUGUUAACCACUGCCAUGAUUCUAUCUGCAUACUGCUUCACUGUUUCUUCUUCCUUCAUCUUCAGGUUCUCAAAAUCCCUUCUCAAAUUCAAUAGCUGCUAUUGCCUUGUUCUCUCAGUGCCUUGAAACUCCUCCUUAAGCUUAUCCCAUGCCUGUUUUGGAGUCUCACAGGCCAUAAUUCUGGUGAAGAUGACAUCUGACACACAAUUCUGAAUGCAGGACAUGGCUUUGUGACUUUUGGUCCUCUCAUCAGCAUGUUGCCUAAUCUGAGCUACUGUGGGAUUGGCCCUCAGUGGUGCUGGCUCAGCAUCUGUGUUGACAACUUCCCACAGAUCAAAGGCCUGUAGGUAAGUCUUCAUCUUAACCAGCCAUAUGUGGAAGCCUUCUCCAUUGAAGACUGGUGGGGCUGCUGGUGAAAAACUUGAGGAAGACAUUCAGCUUUCUUAGUUUGAUAAAACAGGUCCACUAAGAAUGAAGCUCUAGAUACAAAUUGUUGGUGCAAAGAGACAACAACAGACUGUUUUCAAUCUUGCUUGUAUAGCAAGCCUCGAGCCUUGCUGAAGAAACAAACUUAGAAGCAAGAACAGAAACACAUGCGAAUGGAAAACAAAAGAAAUUGAGAGAGAGUAUUUUGAAUGAAAAGAGCUGAUAUUUUCAUUAACAAAUCCAGAAGGCAUAAUGCCAUUACAUAUAAUAGAUAACAACAACAAAAUGAACAAGUCUUUACCUAAUGACAUACCUAACACCACUAAAUUUACAUUGGAAAUUGUUAAUCAGCUUGCUUAAGUUUCUUUGUUGAUUUUUCAGUCAAUCAAUCAACAAAAAAACAUCAUAAGGUUUACCAACUUAGUUCAACAUGAACUAGAUUACAAAAUAAUAAUUAAAAAUACAAUCAAAACAUAACAAGUAGUUAGGCAACUUCAAGCUCCAGUUUCUGUACUUCAUAGCUCGACUGCUUGCUGCCACUUCUCCUUGCAUGGCCACCUUUGCAUGUCUUGCAUGGGAACUAAAUUCAACAUUUAUGAUAGGAGAAAUUGUAUACUCUACAGCUUUAGUGACAAUAGAGCUAACGAUGCCAAUAACAAACUCCAUUUGAGAGAGCAAACAGCAAGUAAACUGAAUAACCACAGCGACAACAGAAAUCAAAACAAAAGCAGAAGUAAAAAUUACAAAUAAAAACUAGCAAAAAGUAAAGUUUCAGUAUAGUAAGAAGUAAGAGCAAAUGAAAGCAGAUGGCGUACCUUUCCAAAAUAUAAGAGAAGGAUUCAGCGAUUAAUUCUCCCAUUUAAGAACGAACAAAAUUAUAAAUUUGCUUUCUUUUCUCUUAACGGAGUAAAGCGAGUAGUAAUUUGACAAAGGCAACUCAAUCUAAAAGUUAGCAACUUUCAAUUUGAAAUAGUUCAAAAAAGAAUUUUGAAAUGCAUUUUGGUGGAUACAGCUAAAAAGUGGAGGAGAGACAUGAUUAGCCACCUAAAUGUCUCCAUGCGGAUGCUUUCUUAGCCUUUUUAUAACUUUGUUCUCUUUUCUUUUAAGAGUAGAC